rnacentral:rRNA from 1 species
AUGGCGGACGAGACCAGCAGCAACCCGCUCCUCGCCGACUUCGACUUCCCGCCCUUCGACCGCAUCGAGCCCGCGCACGUCCGCCCCGGGAUCCGCGCGCUCCUCGCCCGCCUCGAGGGCGAGCUGGAGCAGCUGGAGAAGGGCGUGGAGCCGGCGUGGGAGAAGCUCGUCCACCCGCUCGAGCGCAUCGUCGACAGGCUCGACGUCGUCUGGAACGUCGUCGACCACCUCAAGGCCGUCAAGGACUCCGCCGACCUCCGCGCCGCCGUCGAGGACGUACAGCCCGAGAAAGUGAAGUUCUACCUGAGGCUGGGGCAGAGCAAGCCUAUCUACGAGGCCUUCAACGCCAUCAGGAAUUCUUCAGACUGGGACAGCCUCAGCGACGCCCGCAAGCGUGUCGUCGAAGGCCAAAUAAAGGACGCUGUUCUUGGUGGAGUUGCGCUUGAGGAUGAGCAGAGGGAGAAAUUCAAUCAAAUCCAACAAGAACUUGAAAAGCUGUCAGAGAAGUUCAGUGAAAAUGUGCUGGAUGCAACAAAGAAAUUUGAGAAAUUGAUUACUGAUAAGAAAGAAAUCGAUGGUUUACCUGCCUCAGCUCUUGGCUUGGCAGCACAGACUGCUGUUUCGAAGGGUCAUGAAAAUGCUUCAGCUGAAAAUGGACCUUGGAUGAUCACACUAGAUGCACCAAGCUUCAUGGCUGUCAUGCAACAUGCUAAGAACAGGGCUCUUCGUGAAGAAGUAUAUCGUGCUUAUCUAACCCGUGCAUCAAGCGGCGAUCUUGAUAACACCGAUAUCAUAAGUCAGAUUCUCAAGUUGAGGCUAGAGAAGGCUAAACUACUUGGCUACAAGAACUUUGCUGAGGUAAGCAUGGCUCGGAAAAUGGCAACUGUUGACCGGGUGCAAGAGCUUCUUGAGAAAAUCCGUGCUGCUUCCUGGGAUCAUGCUGUCCAAGAUAUGGAAGACCUAAAAGCCUUUGUGAAAGAUUCUGGUUCUGCAGAAGCCAAUGAUCUAGCACACUGGGAUCUUAACUUCUGGAGUGAACGACUGCGGGAAUCUAAAUAUGACAUCGAUGAGGAAGGGCUGCGUCCUUACUUUGCACUGCCCAAGGUUAUGGAUGGCCUCUUCAGUCUUGCGAAUAAGCUCUUUGGAAUAACCGUUGAAGCUGCAGAUGGAUUGGCUCCUGUUUGGAACAGUGACGUCAAAUUUUAUUGUGUCAAAGAUUCUUCCAAUAGCCCCGUUGCUUAUUUUUACUUCGACCCAUACUCAAGACCAUCUGAAAAGCGUGGUGGGGCUUGGAUGAAUGUCGUCUUUUCUCGUAGUAGUGUGCUAGCUCGCCAUGGGUCUUCUGUAAGGCUGCCUGUUGCCCAUAUGGUGUGUAAUCAGAUGCCGCCAGUUGGCGAUAAGCCCAGUCUUAUGACCUUCCGUGAGGUUGAAACCGUGUUCCAUGAAUUUGGUCACGCGCUGCAGCAUAUGCUUACCAGACAAGACGAAGCCUUUGUUGCUGGUAUCAGUGGAAUAGAAUGGGAUGCCGUAGAGUUACCCUCUCAGUUCAUGGAAAACUGGUGCUACCACAAGAAUACUCUUUUAAGCAUUGCAAAGCAUUAUGAAACCGGUGAACCUCUUCCAGAGGAAAUCUAUGCUAAGCUUGUGGCUGCAAAGAAUUUCCGUGCUGGCACCUUCAGUCUCCGUCAGAUACGUUUUGCAAGUGUGGAUAUGGAGCUGCAUACAACUUAUGAUCCAAGUGGACCAGUGUCCGUGUAUGAUGUUGACCGAAGGGUUGCAGAAAAAACCCAGGUUCUCGCUCCUCUGCCAGAGGACAGAUUCCUGUGUGGAUUCAGCCACAUUUUUGCAGGUGGCUAUGCAGCUGGAUACUACAGUUACAAGUGGGCUGAAGUACUAUCAGCUGAUGCAUUCUCAGCAUUUGAAGAUGUUGGUCUGGAUAAUGAGAAGGCCAUUGAGGAGACGGGCAGACGAUUCAGAGAAACGGUUCUUGCACUUGGAGGUGGAAAAUCUCCGCUCGAGGUUUUCGUUGCUUUCAGAGGACGGGAGCCGUCCCCGGAGCCACUGCUUAGGCACAAUGGCCUGUUACCUGUGGCUGCAUAG